rnacentral:rRNA from 1 species
GACGUAGGGCGCGAGCGUUGUCCGGAUUUAUUGGGCGUAAAGAGCUCGUAGGCGGCUUGUCGCGUCGACUGUGAAAUCCCGCGGCUCAACUGCGGGUCUGCAGUCGAUACGGGCUAGCUAGAGUGUGGUAGGGGAGAUCGGAAUUCCUGGUGUAGCGGUGAAAUGCGCAGAUAUCAGGAGGAACACCGGUGGCGAAGGCGGCAUCCUGGACCAUUACUGACGCUGAGGAGCGAAAGCCAGGGGAGCAAACGGG